rnacentral:rRNA from 1 species
AGUAACGGCGAGUGAAGCGGCAACAGCUCAAAUUUGAAAUCUGGCCUCUUUUGGGGUCCGAGUUGUAAUUUGUAGAGGAUGUUUUGGGUACCGCCCCGGUCUAAAUUUCUUGGAACAGAAUGUCAGAGAGGGUGAGAAUCCCGUCUUGGACCGGCGGUAGGGCCUGUAUAAAACUCCUUCGACGAGUCGAGUUGUUUGGGA